rnacentral:rRNA from 1 species
UACGAAGGGGGCUAGCGUUGUUCGGAAUCACUGGGCGUAAAGGGCGCGUAGGCGGCUUGACAAGUCAGGUGUGAAAGCCCCGGGCUCAACCCGGGAAUUGCACUUGAUACUGUUUGGCUAGAGUCCGGGAGAGGAUGGCGGAAUUCCCAGUGUAGAGGUGAAAUUCGUAGAUAUUGGGAAGAACACCGGUGGCGAAGGCGGCCAUCUGGACCGGUACUGACGCUGAGGCGCGAAAGCGUGGGGAGCAAACAGG